GUUAAAGAGUAUGUAUGGUGAAGCCUCAGGAAGGUUAAUGGUCCAAAUCGUUAGGUUUGGCAAAGCUUUCUGAGAUAUUGGGAUGUAAGCAGGAAAAUACGGAUGAUGUAAUUGGAAAUGGUGGCCACAAAUGAAUUUGACCUAUUGACGCGAAUGAUGAAGAUUUUUUGAACAAUUGUGACGUUUAUUGUUAUAAAUACAUUCGAUUUUGAAUAGUUCAUUGCUAGUGAACUUCUUGAAGUAGUAGUGCUUUAUUAGUAUGGGUAUAGUACUAUGCAAAUCAUAUUUUUGGUUGAAGUUUAUUUCAAGUAUAUGCAUUUGAAUUAUUUUUA